rnacentral:rRNA from 1 species
CACGUAGGGGGCGAGCGUUGUCCGGAUUUAUUGGGCGUAAAGAGCUCGUAGGCGGCUCAGUAAGUCAGGUGUAAAAACUCCAGGCUCAACCUGGAGACGCCAUCUGAUACUGCUGUGGCUAGAGUCCGGUAGGGGAGCAUGGAAUUCCUGGUGUAGCGGUGAAAUGCGCAGAUAUCAGGAGGAACACCUAUUGCGAAGGCAGCAGGCUAAACAAAUAUUGACGCUGAGGCUCGAAAGCGUGGGGAUCAAACAGG